AACCCAAACUAAUAGAUAUCCGGCGUAAAGCGUGUUUAAGAAAAUAACCAAAAUAAAGAUAAAUACUAGCUAAGCUGUAAAAAGCCUCAGCUCUCAUAAAAUAAACAACGAAAGUGUCUUUAGAAAAUCUGAACACACGACAGCUAAGACCCAAACUGGGAUUAGAUACCCCACUAUGCUUAGCCGUAAACUUAAAAAAUUUAAUAAACAAAAUUAUUCGCCAGAGUACUACUAGCAAAAGCUUAAAACUCAAAGGACUUGGCGGUGCUUUAUAUCCAUCUAGAGGAGCCUGUUCUAUAAUCGAUAAACCCCGAUAAACCUCACCAACUCUUGCUAAUU
rnacentral:rRNA from 1 species